GACGAACGCUGGCGGCGUGCCUAAUACGUGCAGGUAGAACGCUGAAGGAGGAGCUUGCUUCUCUGGAUGAGUUGCGAACGGGUGAGUAACGCGUAGGUAACCUGCCUGGUAGCGGGGGAUAACUAUUGGAAACGAUAGCUAAUACCGCAUAAGAGUAGAUGUCGCAUGACAUUUGCUUAAAAGGUGCAAUUGCAUCACUACCAGAUGGACCUGCGUUGUAUUAGCUAGUUGGUGAGGUAACGGCUCACCAAGGCAACGAUACAUAGCCGACCUGAGAGGGUGAGCGGCCACACUGGGACUGGGACACGGCCCAGACUCCUACGGGAGGCAGCAGUAGGGAAUCUUCGGCAAUGGACGGAAGUCUGACCGAGCAACGCCGCGUGAGUGAAGAAGGUUUUCGGAUCGUAAAGCUCUGUUGUAAGAGAAGAACGAGUGUGAGAGUGGAAAGUUCACACUGUGACGGUAUCUUACCAGAAAGGGACGGCUAACUACGUG
rnacentral:rRNA from 1 species